ensembl:miRNA
AACCCGUAGAUCCGAUCUUGUGGUGAAGUGGACGGCACAAGCUCGCUUCUAUGGGUCUG